UGACCAAGUGGCUGAGAUCAG
rnacentral:miRNA from 9 species